UUCGGUGGAGCGGUGGGGCAGCGUGUUUUUCUUUUUCUUUUUCUUCUGGGGGUCUCUUGUGUGGCUGGGUUGUCUCUGUUUGGGUUUGUUGGUUGCUUCAUUUUCUUUUCAGCGUUGCGUCUUAUCGACUGAGUGGAUCCUUUGGUGUAUCCGUGCUUGGUCCCUGCGCUAAUUGUGUGUUUUGUCUCUUCUAGAUGGUCCUCUUCAUUCGUGCAGUAUUCGUGCGCUCUUUUGGGGAAUGAUCUGAAAGCGGCUUUUUUGUGUCUGAUGGGAUCGUUCGACCGGUUGGGGAUGAUGACCGGGUGGUGGGUGGGCUUUCUAUGUGCCUUUGUUUGGUGGAGUCCUUCUACUAUUUUUGUAUCUGGAUCUGGGAGGUGCGCGUUUCUUUUGGAGUUCUGCUCUUGCUUUGGUUGGAGGCCCGGAGGUUCCUUUGUUGGUUUGCUUUCUGGGGCUUCGGGCUUGGCGUUCUCCUCCCGUAUGACAGGGAUGUCGUCUGCAU
rnacentral:lncRNA from 1 species